rnacentral:rRNA from 1 species
ACGUAGGAGGCGAGCGUUAUCCGGAUUCACUGGGCGUAAAGCGCGUGCAGGCGGUUCGGUAAGUUGGGCGUGAAAUCUCCCGGCUCAACCGGGGGGGGUCGUUCGAUACUACCGGACUUGAGUGCGGUAGAGGAAAAUGGAAUUCCCGGUGUAGUGGUGAAAUGCGUAGAUAUCGGGAGGAACACCAGUGGCGAAAGUGAUUUUCUGGAUCGUUUCUGACGCUCAGACGCGAAAGCGAGGGUAGCAAACGG